rnacentral:rRNA from 1 species
UACGGGGGGAGCAAGCGUUGUUCGGAUUUACUGGGCGUAAAGGGCGCGUAGGCGGUCGUGACAAGUCACUUGUGAAAUCUCCGGGCUUAACUCGGAACGGUCAAGUGAUACUGUCGGACUAGAGUACAGAAGGGGCAACUGGAAUUCUCGGUGUAGCGGUGAAAUGCGUAGAUAUCGAGAGGAACACCUGCGGCGAAGGCGGGUUGCUGGGCUGAUACUGACGGUGAGGCGCGAAAGCCAGGGGAGCGAACGGG